GUUCCCCCACUAUAAAGCCCAUUGGAUGCUCUCACUUCCUGUUACUUCCUGGCAGUUUGGACCUGUGACCAGCAGGCUGGCUGCAGAACAACAUGCCUGGAGCUGGCAGACAUCACUGUAAUGCUUAAGGACACUUCAUCAGGAUGGAUGCUUGCUAAAAUGGAUUUUAAACCUGGCCCUACUCAUCUACCUAACCACAAGGCCUAACUGCCCACGUGUCCUCGCAGAGAACCUCAUAUUAAGACACCCCAGGGAUCAGGACCCACAGGCCGAGGCGACAGGUUAACACAGCCCACCCAGGGUGACCCUUCCUGUGGCUGCAGCCAGCAGGAAAAGAGCGAGCAGGGCCUUUGACUUCAGGGAUCCUCCCUUAUCUGACAGAGGGAGAACAGAUCAUAGACAGCUGGAGAUGAAUGAGAACAGAUGGGAGAGGAUAAGACUGUUCACGCCGGAGAGGAAGAGACAGUUAGCCAUGGUAAGGUCACUGUCCUCUUUUCUUUUCUAAGACUUAAAGGUGAGCCCAACUAUAUGUGAGCAUGGUUUGUUGUUGAUUUUUUUGUUAUUUCAUUUUUUUCCAUUUUAAACGAGACAUUGAUUUAUAGUGACUAAAUCUAUUAUUUGUGCUUUUGUUCUUAGGUCAAUCUUCCCAAAAGGCCUUUGCACAAAUCACAUUUGAGUAUUUUAUGCUAUCUGCUUAUCAGUUUCAUACGUUAAGGACACCGCCAAGUAUUUGCCUAUGUCGACCUUAGUGACAUACAACAUACAUGUUACACUUUUUGUAAUGAUGCAAAAUACUGCGCACAUGUACAACAGAAACCUUUUCUGAAAAUACCCUCUUGUCAAGAAACGACCAACAAAUCUGUAGUAUCGCCUAUGGUUAUGUUUUUCCUUUUCACAUUUCAUGCAGUGUGCACACAUACGUUUGCAGUGACAUUUAUGACAAGUUAAGAACAGUCAACUUCAGUCAUUUGCUGACACCCCUCCUCAUUUUCGCCAUGGCCAGCAGCAUACCUAGUUCAUGGCCAGGUCACGUCACAGCACAGUGUGCUCUCUUUAAAAUUAGUUUGUGUUUAAUCAUACUUUGUUUGGAGGUACUUUGCCACUGCAAGCUGCACGAUGUUGUUGUCCCAACAGCACUGUAUUGUGCCCUAUUUCCCUAUAUUGCCUCUACUGAGCUAUGUUAAAUCAGACUAUGAUGUGAAAUUGAAAUUACUAUGCAGAUAGAUGAGUACAGAUCACAGAAGAAAAUCUUAAUAGUAGUUGCUCCUAUCAAGCAAAUAGUCAUGAGAAGGACUUUUUCAAAAGCAACUAUCAAUUUUGGAAGAUCAUCAGCUGAAACAUAGUAAAAAUAAACAUUCCCAUUCAUAAAGCAGAAUAAGUAGAGUAAAGGUGUAUGAACCAGUAUGAAUUUACAAAUUAUAUAUGAAUGGUAUACAUGGAUAUAUUAUCUUCGGAGGAAACUCCUACACAUGAAUGGCAACUUUGCCUGAGAAAUCCUGAGGAUUUGAUCCAGUAGAUUUAAUCUGAUGUUAGCCUGCCCUCUUCUGGAACGAGGAACAACUACAACUGUACAGAGGCUUGAUCCGGCAGCUGAGUAAAGAGGACACAGGAGGAACUUAACUCCAGUGCUGUGUCAUCCAAAGUGCAAAACAGUUUGAUUUUACAAAUCACUUCUUUACAAUCUUGGCCAGUUUCUUUAUAUUGUAACUUUAAAUUUCCAAUACAUAACAAAUCACAGAUUUUUGAACAAUGCCCAUCAUAUUACACCUUCAACUAUUUAAGUGACGUGAGUGGUAACGUGCCACUUUUGGCUUAUCAAAAUUAGGCUGCACCAAACAUGUUUUUAAACUAAACUAGUCUUUAGUACAAGUACUGUCACCAUUUUACAAGAGAGACGGGAGAACAAAACACAUCGAUACAACAUGACAAGACAAUUCAGUCACAAAAAGCAAUCAUCACCCACACAUAUACACUAAAUGGUCACAAAUAUUAUUAACAAGUACAACUUUCAAGUCCCUCAGAGGAAUGAAUGUCUCAUCAGUUUCUUUUGCAGCAUGUCCCAGUUGUGAGGUGCAUAGUACUGGCAAUCAGUCUUUCCCAGUUCAGUGUGGGUAUAAGGAACUACUAAGUGUUGUUGUAUACAUGUAUUUUGUUCUCACGUCUCUCUUGUAAGAGUUCUUUAUUUCAAUGAGACUUCCUUAUUCUCUGCAUAGUGCUGUGGUAUUAUUGUAAUCUUAAACUAAAGUAAAAGCCGAUUCUAUGAUAUCAUGCUCCUGUAAUGAUGUAUGUAUCUCAACAUGGAGACAAGACUUGUGCUAAAGACUUGUUUAGUUAAAAACAUGUUUGGUGUAGCCUGAUUUUGAUACGCCAAAUUCCAUAUUCCGCAAUAUUUAAAACAUAUUUCCUCAAAGAUUCAAUCAUGGUGUCUUUGUAAAAGUAAACUGUGUUUUGGGGAGAGUUUACUACAAAAUGUACUGUCAUACCAUGUUAUCUCUUUAAGUGGCAUGUUACCACUCAUGUCACUUAAGGUAGUGCAAUACCAGGUCAAAGCAAAACAUUCUACUAGAAUUGUUAAGAUAAGAGUCCACUGGAUUGUUUUAUUUUGAGCUGGAAUAAAAGUGGUUUAAAAAAAAAGUUAAACCUGUUGAAAAAUGUACA